rnacentral:tRNA from 1 species
UCCCCCCUAGUUUAUACAGAACCCUUGAUUUGCAAUUAAGAAGAAGGGUACCCCCUGAGGGGAA